UACGUAGGGUGCAAGCGUUGUCCGGAAUUAUUGGGCGUAAAGAGCUCGUAGGCGGUUUGUCGCGUCGAAUGUGAAAUCCCGGGGCUCAACCCCGGGUCUGCAUUCGAUACGGGCAGACUAGAGUUCGGUAGGGGAGUCUGGAAUUCCUGGUGUAGCGGUGAAAUGCGCAGAUAUCAGGAGGAACACCGGUGGCGAAGGCGGGACUCUGGGCCGAUACUGACGCUGAGGAGCGAAAGCGUGGGGAGCAAACAGG
rnacentral:rRNA from 2 species